rnacentral:SRP_RNA from 1 species
GCAAGGGCCUCGACGAGGAAUCUCAGGCCAGAAGGGAUGGCGCGACGCAGGCCUCACAGAGGAGCGAUACCUUCAACAUCGAGCAUGAUCUGGAAAGGAUCAUGG